AUGGUAUUGACAAAUGCAGAGAGGCAGAAGAAAUGGAGAGAAAAAAGAAAGAGUCAAAAUUUGGAAGCAUUUUUAGCAGAAGAGCGGGAGAGGAAACGGAAAGCUUACAUAAGUGUUUCAGAGUUGAGUGAAAAGGAAUUGAAAAAAAGGAGAAAGGCAGGCAGAGAGCGGGAACGAAAGUCCUAUUACAAACGCAAGGAAAGGAAAGCGGAAGAGGCAGCAGGGAAUUCUAACAGUAACAAUCCUAACAAUGAAGCGAGACAUACACGCAAGUCCAGACCUUUAGCAGUAUCAACUCCCUUGGUCGUUGAGUUACCCGCAGUUAAAAAGAGAAAAGAUGUGAAAGGUUUGCUUCAGUUGUAUGCCGUUCAGAAGACAACACAUACUCUGCAGAUGUUAGUUGCGAGACCAGCGAAUCUGAACGUACACCACUACCUUUAA
rnacentral:sRNA from 1 species